GGAAUUGCUAGUAAUGGCAGGUCAGCAUACUGCCGUGAAUACGUUCCCGGGCCUUGUACACACCGCCCGUCACACCAUGAGAGUUGGGAAUACCCGAAGCCUGUGAGCUAACAUUAAGAGGCAGCAGUCGAAGGUAGAAUCAAUGAUUGGGGUGAAGUCGUAACAAGGUAGC
rnacentral:rRNA from 1 species